CAAAGCAUAGCUUAGACAGAAAAGCAUCUCUUUUACACUGAGAAGAGGUUCGUGCAAAUCGGACUGCUUUAA
rnacentral:tRNA from 1 species